rnacentral:rRNA from 1 species
GAUGAACGCUGGCGGCGUGCCUAAUACAUGCAAGUCGAGCGAACAGACGAGGAGCUUGCUCCUCUGACGUUAGCGGCGGACGGGUGAGUAACACGUGGAUAACCUACCUAUAAGACUGGGAUAACUUCGGGAAACCGGAGCUAAUACCGGAUAAUAUAUUGAACCGCAUGGUUCAAUAGUGAAAGACGGUUUUGCUGUCACUUAUAGAUGGUUCCGCGCCGCAUUAGCUAGUUGGUAAGGUAAAGGCUUACCAAGGCGACGAUGCGUAGCCGACCUGAGAGGGUGAUCGGCCACACUGGAACUGAGACACGGUCCAGACUACUACGGGAGGCAGCAGUAGGGAAUCUUCCGCAAUGGGCGAAAGCCUGACGGAGCAACGCCGCGUGAGUGAUGAAGGUCUUCGGAUCGUAAAGCUCUGUUAUUAGGGAAGAACAAAUGUGUAAGUAAAUAUGCACGUCUUGACGGUACCUAAUCAGAAAGCAACGGCUAACUACGUG